CUCCUGCUUUCUCUCAUCUCCCUUCCUGCUCUCAAGACUUCACUGAGUUGACCCUUAGAACUGAGGAGCCUUCAUGAAGUCAUUCCAGGAUGGAAAAUCUGCAGUGCAGGGAGUCCCAGUUAAGAACAAUGAAAGGUAGAGAGAAAAUUUCCUCUACAGCACUGUCCCUGUAAAACCUGUGGAUCCAUCUGUUGAGAGGUGGUGGUAAAGGAAUAUAGAUGUGAACAUUGAGAAGCCCUUUAUUGAAUUUCAUGAACAACUGCGUUCUGAUCAUAAUUGGAAACAGCAUUUUGCCUACCUUAGUGAAAGGAGAAGCUAAAGGACACAGCAGCCAUUGUUUUUGUUAAUUUGAUGUUAAGAUUUAACACAACAUCUACAAACUAGGGCCCAUGAGCCAAAUCCGGCCCACUGCCUGCAUUUAUAAAUAAAGUUUUAUUGGAAUACAGCCAUGCCAAUUGGUUUACAUAUUUUUUAGGCCUUCCAGAAACA